rnacentral:rRNA from 1 species
GACGAACCGUGCGAACGUUGUUCGGAAUCACUGGGCUUAAAGGGCGCGUAGGCGGGCCAUAAAGUCAGGGGUGAAAUCCUCCAGCUUAACUGGAGAACUGCCUUUGAUACUGAUGGUCUCGAGUAAGGUAGGGGCAUGCGGAACUGAUGGUGGAGCGGUGAAAUGUGUUGAUAUCAUCAGGAACUCCGGUGGCGAAGGCGGCAUGCUGGACCUUCACUGACGCUGAGGCGCGAAAGCUAGGGGAGCAAACAGG